UACACAAUGCCUCUUGGAGUACAAUUUUGAA
rnacentral:piRNA from 1 species